rnacentral:lncRNA from 1 species
GGAGAGAUUUGAGUUCUUGAACCUCAAAGCUCCAAAACUUGCUUUAAACUUGAAAAUCUUCAAAACAAGGUGAAAACUUGUGAAAAUCGUGAAAGAUUUGAAGGAAGAAACUCAAGAUUGGUGAGGAAUGGCGGAGAGCUCACCUUGGCCGACAAUGGGGAGAAAACUCGCCCAUUUCGGCUAAGGCACCCAUUUAUAGUGGCUGGCCAGGCCACUUUCGGGAGCCGAACGCGCCUCCGCAUGCAUGCCAUGUUCGGCGGCCGAACCUGGACUUCCCUCACUUUUGCCUUCGGGGGCCUAAGGCACACCUGAAAUGCAUGUAUGUUCGGCGGCCGAACCUGGGUUUUCCUCCAAGGUUGUUUUCAUGCAAAAACUCAUUUCCAUCUUGCUUAAAAUAAUAAAACACAUUAAAACAUUUUAUGAAAACAUGGUUUUACCCUUCUAGAGGUCUCCGACAUCCGAGAUUCUACCGGACGGUAGGAAUUCCGAUACCGGAGUCUAGCCGGGUAUUACACAUAAUUUGAAAGUCUUUUCUACGCAUGAAGUGACUUUGGAGUCCUCUAAUGAAGAUUAAUAUGAAAGUCAUUUUGUACAGACUUGUGAAGUCAUUGUUUUAACUUAGAGGAUACGGUAACGAGUUGAUGUAUUUCAAUCAUUAUUGCAAUUGUGUAAUUCAUACAUACUGUUUUAUAUCAGAGAUAUUGUAACGACCCGAAAAUCGGACCGCUACCGGCGCUAGGAUCCAGAUCGGCUUAAGGCCGCCGGGACCCGUAGCAAGCCUGAUAUAUAACCUGUAAACUUGUAUAAUCCCAUACAUGAUCGACAACAUUCAUAAAAAUUAAAACUUUUCUUUUCAUUCAUACACCAAACUCAACCUGUGCAUGCACUAUAUAUAACAUAAACAUAACAUUGAUCCCUCUGUGGGAUCUCAUCAGUACCCCAAGGGGUGGCAUAACCUGUGUUGAGUUGGUUUACAUAAACAUCAUAAAACACCUAUGAUCAUGUAUUAAAAAGGGAUAACAACAUUCUAUGGUCAAGCACACCUUUAACAUCCAUACACAUCAUCUCAUUACAUAACUAUACUGUACUUUUACAUUACAUCAAAGUCAUUUAUCAUGUCCACAUAACUAUUACAAAACCAAGACUUCCUUACUCCAUCCGGACUCCUGCUCUAUCCUGUACCUGCAAGCCUGGGGGUAAAGGGAGAGGGGUGAGCUAAAAACCCAGUGAGUAGAACUAUAAAAACAUAUUAACACUAUGCUCCAAUGAAAUGCAUCAUAACACAAACAAUUCACAUAAGGGUUGGGUGAACUUGUCACCAAUUAGUCCCAGCUAUCUCUGUGCCAGGCCGUAGCAUGGGGUCCUGGUCUUCCUGUCAUAUCAUACAUUACUUACCAUUGCCCCAGGGCCUCCUCUGGGCUCCUGGUCUUCGAGUCCCAUAACCGUGCCAGGCCGUAGAAUGGGGUCCUGGUCUUUCCUUACUCUGUGCCAGGCCGUAGAAUGGGGUCCUGGUCUUCCUGUCAGGGACUAAUUGGGUCAUCCAAUAUUCACCCACAUCAACAACAAAGGAUGCAAUGCGGCAUAUUCGUGAAAUCUAAUGCAAUCAUCCUAUUGCAUAAUCAUGAUGCAUGAAACAUGAUAAAACAUUAAAUUUCUCAAUUUAAAAGAUUAAGUUUAGUUCCACUCACCUCUGGCUGACUCUGACAAUGUAACGACCCGAAAAUCGGACCGCUACAGACGCUAGGAUCCGAGUCGGCUUAAGGCCGCCAAGACCCGUAGCAAGCCUGACAUACAACCUGUAAACCUGUUCAAUCCCAUACAUGAUCAACAACAUACAUAAAAAUUAAAACUUUUCUUUCAUUCAAACACCAAACUCAACCUGCACAUGUACUGAACAUAGACAUAAUCAUAAACAUCGACCCCUCUGUGGGAUCUCACCAAUGCCCAAAGGCAAUUACUGUAACAGCCCGCUUACCGGACCAUCACCGGCACUAGGAUCCAGAUCGGCUUAAGGCCGCCGGGACCCGUAGUAAGCCUACUGUCAACUCUGUGUACCUGAUAAAUCCCAUACAUGAUCAUACUUAAGCUUAAAACUGUUACUUACUCUUCUCUAUUAUUUUUUUUUUCUUUCUUUGCUUGACUAUCUUUUCUUUUCUUGAAACUUUUCUCAUCAACUAAGCCUGGACUAUGCAUGCUCUGUCUGUAUGCACUCGAAGAGUGAUACCUGCUAUGGUACCAUACAGUAACUACAGAGAUAGAAAUACUACCAUGCACCAAGCCUAGCUCUCAUAACAACAUUGUCUCAAACAUAUAUAACAUAAAAGGAUCAUGUACAAAGGAAUAACAAGCACUAGGGCCAAGCACAAUACUAUAACUCACUAUAUAACUUGCUAUUACAUCAUUGCUAUACAUUACAUAAACUCUGUACUGUACAUCAUUAUCAUGUCCACCAUUCUAUACUAUUACAUAUGCCUUUUACCCUUGCUAUCUCUUUCUCUUUCUCUUCUCUGAGGCCCUGAAAAAAUGGGGUUAGGGAGAGGGAUGAGCUGCUAAAGCCCAGUGAGCGGAAUCUAUAAAAAAUCACAUUUAAAACAUGCUAUCAUAUGAUGCAUCACUGCACAAACAUUUCACAUCUCGGAUUGGACAUGAUCCCAAAACUCCCUCUGUCAGUGCCCGGCCCCCAAAGGAGCUCACACAGGUCUUUCACUAACUACUCAUGGUGCCCGACCCUAUAAGGGCUCUCACAGGACUCAUCCAAGGUAAAUGCCCGGCCCCCAAAGGAGCUCACACAGGACAUACAAUAAUGACAGACAUAUGGGCUAUUGAGAUCGCCUCGGUCCAAUCCACAUAUACAAGUAAUAAUGCAAUGCAUCAACUUGGUGCAUACUAAUGCAAAGCAUCCUACAUAAACAUGGCAUUAAUGAUGCAUGAAUCAUGCUAAAACAGUUCUUAACUUUUAAAAUAAAGUUCUGUUCCACUCACCUCUGUCAACUGCUGNNNNNNNNNNNNNNNNNNNNNNNNNNNNNNNNNNNNNNNNNNNNNNNNNNNNNNNNNNNNNNNNNNNNNNNNNNNNNNNNNNNNNNNNNNNNNNNNNNNNNNNNNNNNNNNNNNNNNNNNNNNNNNNNNNNNNNNNNNNNNNNNNNNNNNNNNNNNNNNNNNNNNNNNNNNNNNNNNNNNNNNNNNNNNNNNNNNNNNNGAAAGGCAGAAUCCGAGCACAACUCAUGCUCUCAGCCUCCAAAAUCCUAUCAAACACCCAUAACAUGCAUACCAACACUUCUCAACUCACAAAGAACAUAACUCAUGCAUAUAGAGGCCUAAAAACUAGCUCAAGCCUCAAAAACAACAACAAAACUCAUAGAAACUCAUAUGAUCAACAUAUGUUCAAACUCAUGUUUAUACCCCCAAAACAUGCCAUACAACUCUAAACUUACUUGAAACAUAAGGGGAGGUGAGGAUCCAUGCUUACCUCUUGAAGAACUAGAGGAUUGAUGAUCCAAGCUUGGAGAUGGGGGAAAACUCAAUCAAAAUCUCCAAGUGCUCAACUUUGCUUCUUUUUGCUCAAAACUCUUAAACAAAACUCAAAUCAAGUUAAAACAUGCAAGAUUUGAGGAAAACAUGAGAAAUCACACCAAGGAGAGCUUGAACCUACCUUUGACCCAAAAACAGAGUAUGUACCACUCACGUCUCGGGCAAAGGGGCUUUUGUAGUGGCCAACCGACUCUUCCUUCGGCGGCCUAACGUGCAUGCGAAACCAUGCAACUUUCGGCGGCCGAACUUCACCUUCGGCGGCCGAACCUGGCUUUUGUCCCCUUGGCCUUUUCAUUUCAAAACUCAAUUUUCUUAACUCAAAACAUGCAAACAUGAUAAAAACACUUAAAAACAUCUUAAAAACCUUUCUUAUACCCUUAGGGCAAGCUCCGACAUCCUCGAAUCCCGACUUCCAACGGAAAAUCCGCCGGAACGUAGGAAUUCCGAUACCGGGGUCUAGCCGGGUAUUACAAUUACAACAUAAGUUGAGUUGGUUUACAUAAACAUCAUAAAAGAUCUAGGAUUAUGCAUUGAAAGGGAUAUCUUAAACAUAGGUCAAGCACAACCUCUAAUCCUCAAUAUCAUUACAUUACAUAACUAUUCAUAAUUUUACAUUUUAUCAUGUCCAAAGUCUAUCUAUUACAUACAAACGACUUCAACACUCCUGCUGACCUCCUGGUCUACCCUAUACCUGCAAACCUGGGGAAUUUGGGAGAGGGGUGAGCUACUAGAGCCCAGUGAGCAGAAUAGUAAAGCAUUUAAAACACAUGCUAUCAUGAAAUGCAUCACAUCACAACUAAUCAUAUCAAGGAUGAACUUGUCACCAUCUAGCCCUCUACAUAUUCCAAUCAUGCCAGGGGCAUAGUGCAGGCCACACCUGGUCUUUCUCUUAUACAUAACAUAACAUACAUAACCAAACUGUGCCGGGGGCGUAGUGCAGGCCACACCCGGUCUUUCUCUUACAUAGUGCCAGGGGUGUAGUGCAGGUCACACCUGGACUUCCAUAUCAUAACAUCACAUCAUAACAUAUGAGGGCCAGUGGAUCAUUCAACAUUCAUCCACAUCAACAACAUAUUAUGCAAUGCAACAUAUUCGUGAGUUCUAAUGCAAACACCCUAAUAUAGCUCAUGGUAUUCAUGAUGCAUGAAUCAUGCUAAACUUUUCAUUUAUUUAAAACAUAAGAGUUUAUUCUACUCACCUCUGGUUAGCUCUGACACUGACUGAAGCAGCUGACUCACUGCUGAGGUCCUCGGUUCCUCGAGUCCGAACCUACACAGGUGGACUCAAAUGAGGGACCAACAUACUAUAACAUGACUCUGAAAACAUCCCCCAAAAACCCUCUAAAACAUCUCAAAACAUUCAUUCAAGAACAUGCAAAAGAAGGCUGGACAGGGCACUUUCGGCGGCAGGUUUGGCGGCCGAAAGUCCCUCUAGAGCCGAAAGUUAGGCAGGUUCGGCGGCACCUUCGGCGGCCGAAACUCCCAGACAGAGGCGAAACUCAUGCAUGUUCGGCGGCACCUUCGGCGGCCGAAAGUGCCAGACAGAGACGAAAGUCUCCUUUCGGGGGCAAGCUUCGGCAGCCGAAGGCUGCCUCCACAAGCACGUUCGGCGGCCGAAAGUUCCUUCGGCUGCCGAACCUGGUUUCUCCCAGAAUGGCAGAAACUCAGCUCCCUUAUGCAUUUAUGCCUCCCAUCUCAUCCAAACAUGCAUUUAGCUCAACCAAAACAUGCAUACAAGUUCCUAGGGGCAUCAACUAGCUAAAACCCCAUCUACAACACAUCAAACAUGCAUUUGCAAGCCACAUUGUUCAAAAUCACAACAUUAACUCAUAUACUCCAACAUAGCCUAACAUGCAUUUCUACCCCCAUGAACUUGCAUAAAACUUGUUUAAAACAUAAUGUAAGCUAGAGAUCGACUCUUACCUCUUGAAGAUCGAGAGUAGAGGCGAUCUAUCUUGGAGUUGGGAGGGAUUUGAGUUCUUGAACCUCAAAGCUCCAAAACUUGCUCAAAACUUGGAAAUCUUCAAGACAAGAUGAAAACUAGUGAAAAACUUGAAAGAUUUGAAGGAAAGGACUCAAGAUCGGUGAGGGAUGGCGGAAAACUCACCUUGGCCGACAACGGAGAGAAAAACUCGCCCGUUUUCGGCUAAGGGACCCUUUUAUAGUGGCUGGCCAGGCCACGUUCGGGGGCCGAAUGUGCCUCCGCAUGCAUGCCAUGUUUCGCGGCCGAACUUGAGGUUCGGAGGCCGAACCUGGGAUUCCCUCACUUAUGCCUUCGGGGGCCUAAGGCACACCCGAAAUGCAUGCAUGUUCGGCGGCCGAACUUGAGGUUCAGCGGCCGAACCUGGGUUUUCCUCCAAAAUCAUUUUCAUGCAAAAACUCAAUUACAGCUUGCUUAAAACCAUAAAACACAUUAAAACAUUUUAUGAAAAACAUGGUUUUACCCUUCUAGAGGCUUCCGACAUCCGGGAUUCCAUCGGACGGUAGGAAUUCCGAUACCGGAGUCUAGCCAGGUAUUACAGACAACACUGAAGCAGCUGAACUCAUUGCUGGGGUCCUUGGUUCCUCGGGUCCGAACCUACACAGGUGGACUCAAAUGAGGGACCAAACAUACUAGAACAUGACUCUAAAAUACUCCCCAAAAACCCCCCGAAAGCACCUCAAAACAUCAUGGAAAAACAUGCAAAGGAGGGCUGCACAGGGCACUUUCGGCGGCAGGUUCGGCGGCCGAAAGUCCCUCCAGAGCCGAAAGUCAGGCAGGUUCGGCGGCACCUUCGGCGGCCGAAACUCCCAGACAGAGGCGAAACUCAUGCAUGUUCGGCGGCACUUUCGGCGGCCGAAAGUGCCAGACAGAGACGAAAGUCUCCUUUCGGGGGCAGGCUUCGGCAGCCGAAAGGCUUGCCUCCCAGCCAUGUUCGGCGGCCGAAAGUCCUUCGGCUGCCGAACCUGGUUUCUGCCAAAGGGCAGAAACCUGGCUCCUCUAUGCACAUUUGCCUCCAAAACUUCCAAUCAUGCAUAAACCUAUUCUACAACACUCCCAAACAUAUAACAUCAAGCAUACAAGUUCCUAGGGGCUUCAGAACAUCAAAAACCCCAACUACAAUACAUCAAACAACUCACAUUGCUCAAAACAUCACAUGAACACAUAAACUCCAACAUAACCUAACUUGCAUUUCUACCAUUUAAAUCUACUUAAAACUUGUUAAAAACAUAAAAAGAGUUCAAGAUCGACCCUUACCUCUUGAAGAUCGAGAGAGAGACGACCUCAACUUGAAGAUGGGAGAGAUUUGAGUUCUUGAACCUCAAAGCUCCAAAACUUGUUCAAAUGCUCAAAAUCUUCAAAACAAAGGUAAAACUAAUGAAAAUCGUGAAAGAUUUGAAGGAAAGGACUCAAGAUCGGUGAGGGAUGGCGGAGAGCUCACCUUGGCCGACGACGGGGAAAAAGCUCGCCCGUUUUCGGCUAAGGGACCCUUUUAUAGUGGCUGGCCAGGCCACG